GUACACUCCUGCGGGAGGCAACAGUGGGGAAUAUUGGACAAUGGGCGCAAGCCUGAUCCAGCCAUGCCGCGUGAGUGAUGAAGGCCCUAGGGUUGUAAAGCUCUUUCACCGGUGAAGAUAAUGACGGUAACCGGAGAAGAAGCCCCGGCUAACUUCGUGCCAGCAGCCGCGGUAAUACGAAGGGGGCUAGCGUUGUUCGGAUUUACUGGGCGUAAAGCGCACGUAGGCGGACUAUUAAGUCAGGGGUGAAAUCCCGGGGCUCAACCCCGGAACUGCCUUUGAUACUGGUAGUCUUGAGUUCGAGAGAGGUGAGUGGAAUUCCGAGUGUAGAGGUGAAAUUCGUAGAUAUUCGGAGGAACACCAGUGGCGAAGGCGGCUCACUGGCUCGAUACUGACGCUGAGGUGCGAAAGCGUGGGGAGCAAACAGGAUUAGAUACCCUUGUAGUCCCA
rnacentral:rRNA from 1 species